AAACUUUAAAUAAAGUACUAUCAUAUACUCUUUAUGUUCCUAAAUAUAAGAUAUUCUAGGUAAAACACACUUAUUAAAAAAAUUAUUUUUUAUUUAAAAAGUAUUAUUAAAACUAUAAAUUAAAACUAUUUAACCAAUUACAAAAUAAAAUUAUAAAAUUUGAUUAUUUACACAGAUUUUGAUAAAGUUAAAACUACUUAAAAAUACGAAAACAUCUUAAGGCAACAUUAUCAGUGGUCCAUUUUUUGGUCCUUAAAAUCUUUUUUUUUCUGUUUUCUGGUUUUUAAAAAAAAUAAAAAAAUAAAAAAAUAAACUUAUAGCGGGUCGCCACGUAUUGUGGGGUCCGUAAACAGUGCUAAGGGCUCAAUGCAAAAGUUUCUUAAAUUGGAACAUUAUGGCACAGUCAUUGAAAAAAGGUGGUGGGACCCACGCUUAAGGACUCUCCCACCAC
rnacentral:lncRNA from 1 species